rnacentral:rRNA from 1 species
CAGUAGCCACGGGAAUACGAAGGGUGCAAGCGUUACUCGGAAUUACUGGGCGUAAAGCGUGCGUAGGUGGUGGUUUAAGUCCGUUGUGAAAGCCCUGGGCUCAACCUGGGAAUUGCAGUGGGUACUGGGUCACUAGAGUGUGGUAGAGGAUAGUGGAAUUUCCGGUGUAGCGGUGAAAUGCGUAGAUAUAGGAAGGAACAUCAGUGGCGAAGGCGACCACCUGGACUGAUACUGACACUGAGGUGCGAAAGCGUGGGGAGCAAACAGGAUUAGAUACCCCAGUAGUCCCUGUCUCUUAUAC